rnacentral:sRNA from 1 species
UGUCUUUAGAUGUAUGCUCAGAGACUAUGUUAGUGUGACGGAGCCAUUCAUCACCAUGUAUAAAAGAUACAUCUACGAAAGAAGAUACUUCUGAAUCUGUGAGUUGUUUCCCAAACAAAACCCUCUCUUUGUAAUCUGUUCCCGUCCAUAACAUUUAUGCUCUCCAAAAGUCAUCGUCCUAAAAUAUAAAACCCAUACAAGACAUAAAUAAGGUCUUUUAUGUGUAUUCUAAGAUGUGUAUGUAGUCGCUUACUUUUCUAUGGUCGAGUCUCCCCAGUUAUUCCAUCCUUCUGGAGUAAUGAUUCCAGACAUGUGAGUAUUUGAGAACACAACCGUAGCAUAGGCUCAUGAUAUGUCUAUAAUUUGCAUGAUUUAGGCAUUCAUUCUUCACCACUUUGUCAUUGAUUCAU